UUUAACUGAAGAGUUUGAUCAUGGCUCAGAUUGAACGCUGGCGGCAGGCUUAACACAUGCAAG
rnacentral:rRNA from 1 species